AUGUUUGCAAUGGAGAUCGACAACAUAAACGACAUUUACACUUUCCUUGUGGCCUGCUGUGGCCCCCGAUUGGAGAGGUUAUUUGUGCAGCUUCCGACAAGUAGUUGUCAAUAUAGGCCAGAGGAUGAACCAUCAGGAUCAGAAUCUGAGGAAAAUGAGUCAGUGGAAGAGCUAUCAGAGCAAGAGGCAGCGGAGGAAGAUGAGCUAGAUGAAGACUUGUCAGAAGGAGAAACACUGGAGAAAGAUGGGCUAGAGGAAGAGCUGUCAGAGGGAGAUGCCCUGGAGGAAGAUGAGCUAGAGGAAGAGCUGUUAGAGGGAAUUGAACUCGAGGAAGAGCUGUCAGAGGGAGAGCCACCUGAAGAAAAUCAACCACAGAAACAUGGGUCGAGGGAAGAGAUAUCUGAUGGAGGGCAAUCAGAGGAAGAGACAAUAGAGGAUGGCGAUGGCUUUGAGAACCUUUUGUUGGUCAACAUGAUGAAUUUCAAGGGGCACCACCAUGAGAUGCAGCUAGUAAGCCUUUUCUUGAAGAAGUCUACUAGUCUCAACCAACUGAUACUGUUUACUCCCAAGAUUGAUCACCCAGAAUGGCUUCAGAAGGAUCAUAUGAAUACUUCACAUAUUCUUGAAAGAAAACUAUCGCCUCUCAGAAAGGCCUCACCGAAUGUUCAGAUAGUACUCAGUGAGCCUGAUGAUAGUGCAAUCCAGCCGUUGCACGAGGCUUUUGUCAAAGUUUAA
rnacentral:rRNA from 1 species